GCUCAGCACAGCUUCAUGUCUGGCCUUGCCACUCUGUUCAUAACAUGUUACAUAUUCAAUCUUGAGUACCAGGAUGGGGCAGCGUGUAUCUUGGAGUCCAAUGAAAGAUAUUAAUCCAGAGAGUGGAACAAGAAGAAGCGUCAUCUAAAAUACCAGGAUACAGAAGAAACAGGUUGCAGUGAACCCACAUGUUGCCGCUCUUCUAAACACAAUGAUGAAUUUUCAGUGAAAUCGAUGAAAAUUCUAGCUACUUGUUGUGCUCUGAUGGAUCAAGAUGUGGACCGUUUUACAGACUCACUUGGGCUUUGUUUUGC